rnacentral:rRNA from 1 species
UACAGAGACUGCAAACGUUAUUCGGAUUCACUGGGCGUAAAGGGUGCGCAGGCGGCCGCGCGUGUGGAAUGUUAAAGCGCGAGGCUCAACCUCGGUGAUGCGUUUCAAACUACGUGGCUAGAGUGUGGGAGAGGGGAAUGGAAUUCACGGUGUAGCAGUGAAAUGCGUAGAUAUCGUGAGGAACACCAGCGGCGAAGGCGAUUCCCUGGACCAUUACUGACGCUCAGGCACGAAAGCGUGGGAAUCAAAAGGG